CGAGGGCCUUGCGCACGGCGCCGGAGCGCUUGGGCCGCUCCGGCUCCUCGGGCCUCGUCCGGCGGCCCUUGUC
rnacentral:tRNA from 1 species